UUGAAAGAAAACCAGCCAGUUAAAGCUUCGAUUGGAACCCUCAACUCUCCAUGACUGCAGAGUGAAAUAUAGCUCCGGGCAUAGAAAAUGUUCCUCCAGUGCUCCGAUAAAUAGCAUUCAGUUUUCAGCCCCAGGGAAUUCAAUGCAGCCCUAGUUACCCCUCACUGCCAUCACAGCCAUUGAUUCCUUGGGCAGUGGAAAUGAUUUAUGAAGGUGAAUAGCCAUUUCAAACUUUAAUUAAACACAUAGAGAACCAUCAUUUUUUAAAGGGUAUGAACCAAGAAAGAUGAGAGCUGAACUCCUGUAGAACACUAAUUACCUUUUCAACACUUUGUCUCAUCUCCUUGUUUUUCUUCCAGAUUAGUGAGAGACUGAGCCAAUCUACUAUCCCCACAGAAAUGUCCAAUUAUUUGGGCAGAGGGCAGUCAAGCCUAUGCUGAAUUGUAGACACUGCUGUGUUCCUGCACCUGUUUCAGUUAUCAGAGUCUCCUAAAAAGCUUCACAACCUACCACUGUCCACACAGGCUUUCUGGUUCCCAUGUUGCAAGGCUGAAAAUAGAGUCCGAGAGCCUAUCUUGGUAGCUGUACAAUCAUCCUUAAAAUGAGUUUACGCAGACUGGGGCCUGUGCCUGAAUCCAACUAGCCAAAUGCAACAAGAGCCAAAAAUCCAGUAAAAACAAAAACAACAUAAAAGCCAAGUCAAUUAUUUGUGUCUGUAUGUAUAGGAUUAGCCUCCAAGGGAGGAUCUCACAAGUGCUGGAUCAAAUGCUGCAC
rnacentral:lncRNA from 1 species